UUAAAUUGAAGAGUUUGAUCAUGGCUCAGAUUGAACGCUGGCGGCAGGCCUAACACAUGCAAGUCGAGCGGUAGCACAGAGAGCUUGCUCUCGGGUGACGAGCGGCGGACGGGUGAGUAAUGUCUGGGAAACUGCCUGAUGGAGGGGGAUAACUACUGGAAACGGUAGCUAAUACCGCAUAACGUCGCAAGACCAAAGUGGGGGACCUUCGGGCCUCAUGCCAUCAGAUGUGCCCAGAUGGGAUUAGCUAGUAGGUGGGGUAACGGCUCACCUAGGCGACGAUCCCUAGCUGGUCUGAGAGGAUGACCAGCCACACUGGAACUGAGACACGGUCCAGACUCCUACGGGAGGCAGCAGUGGGGAAUAUUGCACAAUGGGCGCAAGCCUGAUGCAGCCAUGCCGCGUGUGUGAAGAAGGCCUUCGGGUUGUAAAGCACUUUCAGCGGGGAGGAAGGCGUUAAGGUUAAUAACCUUGGCGAU
rnacentral:rRNA from 1 species